rnacentral:rRNA from 1 species
CCUACGGGUGGCAGCAGUGGGGAAUAUUGCACAAUGGGGGAAACCCUGAUGCAGCGACGCCGCGUGAAGGAAGAAGUAUUUCGGUAUGUAAACUUCUAUCAGCAGGGAAGAAAAUGACGGUACCUGACUAAGAAGCCCCGGCUAACUACGUGCCAGCAGCCGCGGUAAUACGUAGGGGGCAAGCGUUAUCCGGAUUUACUGGGUGUAAAGGGAGCGUAGGCGGUUUAGCAAGUCAGAAGUGAAAGCCCGGGGCUCAACUCCGGGACUGCUUUUGAAACUGUUGAACUAGAGUGCAGGAGAGGUAAGUGGAAUUCCUAGUGUAGCAGUGAAAUGCGUAGAUAUUAGGAGGAACACCAGUGGCGAAGGCGGCUUACUGGACUGUAAAUGACGCUGAGGCUCGAAGGCGUGGGGAGCAAACGGGAUUAGAUACCCCUGUAGUC